rnacentral:rRNA from 1 species
UACGUAGGGUCCGAGCGUUGUCCGGAGUUACUGGGCGUAAAGCGCGCGCAGGCGGCGGUGCUGGCCCGGCGUGAAAGCCCCCGGCUCAACCGGGGAGGGUCGUCGGGGACCGCACCGCUUGAGGGCGGUAGGGGCUGGUGGAAUGCCUGGUGUAGUGGUGAAAUGUGUAGAGAUCAGGCGGAACACCCGUGGCGAAGGCGGCCAGCUGGGCCGUCCCUGACGCUGAGGCGCGAAGGCGUGGGGAGCGAACGGG